AGCUACCCUUGUUCAUUUUGGUGGUCUUUUCCAGGAACCCGUGAAAGAAUCAAGAGCGACCAAGAAGUGUCCCACAAGUGUCUCCACUGAUUUAGACAGCAUAACAAAACUAAACUGAGAGAGUUGACAGGGAGGCAAACCAGGGAAGCAAGGGGAUUUUACAUCCAGGGCACGGCAGCCGAAUAAACAUCUGAAGAUUGAAUCCUGGGCAAGAAAUCUUAGAUGAAUGAUAGCCACUGGCAUUGUACUCAAGUGACAUUUUCUGGAGGCUGAUUCCAGGAUGCAUUUUUGAAACCCGGUUGGCAAGUUUCCCUGACUAUGGCUUUGGCUGAUCCUCCCCUACAAGCAUAGCUUGAUGUUACUGCACGCUACUUUGGUCUCUGCUGAUGAGGGAAGAGAAACCCGGGGAUCUUCAUUUAUUUAAAAGCUUAACUUAGAGGAUAAGAUCAGUGAACCAGUGCUGCUGCUGUUGAAGGAGAAGAAG
rnacentral:lncRNA from 1 species